rnacentral:lncRNA from 1 species
CAGUAAUUAAACCGAUUCUAUUUAAUGACAUCUUUGUCGCAUAGGUGGUCUCUAAUGCUGACAACAGAUUUCUUAGAAAUGCUGCUCUCUCUAUUUAACUAACAUUUUGUUCAGUUUUGCCUCCAGUGGAAGCAGAAAGGGUUUUUUCAGCUGUUAAAUCCGAGCCUGGGUUUUCUUUGCUGUCGUUGUUGUUGUUUUGUAUGGAAAGGCUGCUUUCCCCAGGUUCCACUUAGAACCUCCAGUAGGUCACAGGGUUCAGUAUGGAUUUGAUUUAACAACCCACCAGCAUGCUAAAAAUCCCUUGUUAUAUCUUAUCGAACCUGUAUGUUAACUCUCUGGGUGUUUAGGCUUCUCUUUGACUGCUAUUGUGUCCCUGUUUGCAAAAUGAAAAUGACACUCUGUGGAUUAUUUGCUCUGU